GGGAGAUCUCGAGACGGGUUAGGCUGUUAUUGGCCAGAUUGAUCUGUUGGAGAGAAGGAAGGAGGAAGAACCAGGCCGGUAAGGUUCCGGCGAGGGAAUUUUCACUGAGUUCGAUUACUUCCAAUUGAUUCGAGUCGGAGAAGGAGGAUUUAUCCAAAUACCCAGAAAGGGAAUUUCGUUUUAACGCGAGUUCAAGCAAGUUAGAUGGGAGUUUAGGAAUGGAGCCGGUGAGUUGGUUGAAG
rnacentral:misc_RNA from 1 species